AGCAGCCGCGGUAAUUCCAGCUCCAAUAGCGUAUAUUAAAGUUGUUGCAGUUAAAAAGCUCGUAGUUGAAUUUCGGGGUCAGUAGAUUGGUCAUGCCUCCGGUAUGCACUGGUCUUACUGGCUCCUCUUCCUGAUGAACCGUAAUGCCAUUAACUUGGUGUUGCGGGGAGACUGGACUGUUACUUUGAAAAAAUUAGAGUGUUUAAAGCAGGCUAACGCUUGAAUACAUUAGCAUGGAAUAAUGAAAUAGGACGUUCGAUCUUAUUUGUGGUUUCUAAGAUUGACGUAAUGAUUAAUAGGGAUAGUUGGGGGCAUUAGUAUUCAAUUGUCAGAGGUGAAA
rnacentral:rRNA from 1 species